CAGGUUACCUUGAAGGCAUAGUUGGAGAAACGGUUCUUCAUCAGGCAGCCUUGGUUUUGAAAUAACACAAGCUGCCUGAUUAAGAGCUUUUUCUACGCUGGGCGAUCUUCAGAUCCGAGGA
rnacentral:precursor_RNA from 10 species